GCGCGAAAACUUUACAAUGCUGGCAACAGCGAUAAGGGAACCUCGAGUGCCAGGUUACAAAUCUGGCUGUCGAGAUGCCUAAAAAAGCAUUUCAUAGCAAGGGCCGGGCAAGACCGGUGCCAGCCGCCGCGGUAACACCGGCGGCUCGAGUGGUAACCGUUAUUAUUGGGUCUAAAGGGUCUGUAGCCGGCCGGAUAAGUCUCUUGAGAAAUCUGGCAGCUUAACUGUCAGGCUUUCAGGAGAUACUGUCUGGCUCGAGGCCGGGAGAGGUGAGAGGUACUUCGAGGGGUAGGGUGAAAUCUUGUAAUCCUUGAAGGACCACCAGUGGCGAAGGCGUCUCACCAGAACGGACCUGACGGCAAGGGACGAAAGCUAGGGGCACGAACCGAAUUAGAAACCC
rnacentral:rRNA from 1 species